UACAGAGGGUGCGAGCGUUGUCCGGAAUCACUGGGCGUAAAGGGCGCGUAGGCGGCUUGAUAGGCGUGCGGUGAAAGCCCGGGGCUCAACCCCGGGUCGGCCGUGCGAACUGUCGAGCUGGAGCACUGUAGAGGCAGGUGGAAUUCCGGGUGUAGCGGUGGAAUGCGUAGAGAUCCGGAAGAACACCGGUGGCGAAGGCGGCCUGCUGGGCAGUGGCUGACGCUGAGGCGCGACAGCGUGGGGAGCAAACAGG
rnacentral:rRNA from 1 species